rnacentral:lncRNA from 1 species
ACAGGGGCUGUGAGAGGACCAAGCUUCUUUGCGGACAGGAAGCAGAAUAGCCCGCUCUGAGAUCUUGCUGGAGUCACUCACCCCUAAGGCUCCAUCUCACCCUGCCCCGUUGCCUUACCUCGCAGAAGAAACACCCCGAGCAAUGCCAGGAGUGCAAGUCCCACACCAGAAGCAAUGAUUAUCAUCAGCAGUCUUGACUUUCAGGAGUACAAAGGGACCCUGACAGCAAAACGUUUGAGAAGUGCGUCCCUGAGCCAGGCACUCUGCAGGGGCUCUGCCACCUCACACAGACAGCUGCACUCAGCGGGGCCUCCCUCCUGUCCCAUUCAUGCAGAAGUGGGGAAGUGGGGACAGCAGCAAGGACAAGACCACAGGUUGUCUCUGAGGAGAGACACUUUUCAUUCACAAACAUCUGUGCUGCCUGAAGUUUCUCCUGAAAGAGACCUUCAUCAUUUUUGUAAUAAUAAAAAUAAAUGA